UACGAAGGGUGCAAGCGUUGUUCGGAAUUAUUGGGCGUAAAGCGCACGUAGGCGGUCUUGCAAGUCCCGUGUGAAAUCCCUCGGCUCAACUGAGGAACUGCACGGGAAACUGCUUGGCUUGAGUUCGGGAGAGGGAAGCGGAAUUCCAGGUGUAGCGGUGAAAUGCGUAGAUAUCUGGAGGAACACCGGUGGCGAAGGCGGCAUCCUGGACCGACACUGACACUGAGGAGCGAAAGCCAGGGGAGCAAACGGG
rnacentral:rRNA from 1 species